CUGGAGAUGGCCCAGCAGUCAAGAGCACUGGCUGCUCUUCCAGAGAACCUGGGUUCAAGUCCCAGCCUCCACA
rnacentral:tRNA from 1 species